AUUAACUUCCUGAUUUAAAUUUUUUUUGUAUUUUUUUGGCCACGCCACAUGGCAUGUGGUAUCUUUAGGUCCCCAACCAGGGAUGGAAGCCAUGCCCCCUUGGGUGGACGUGCAGAGUGGUAGCCACUGGGCUGCCAGGGAUGCCCGACUGCAUGGUUUUGAAGGCGGCAGGUGGUGCUGAUUUACUAAAGCCACAGCCGUCGUCUGUGGAUGUCCUGGCUGCCGGACAGGUUUCCUCCUGACCCACCGUGUGCUGGGUGAUGGUUACUCACUCUGUCUUCCUUUGUUCCCAUUAUUCAGACUUUUCUUGUACCAUGUGCUGUUAGCACACAGGGACACCAGUGACCUGAAAUCUUGUUAUCUGGAGACAUAGAGGCAUUACCGAUGCCCUCUUGAUUGUGAAGACAAGACUGGUUUUAGCCCCGGAAGUCAUGCUCUGCCAUCAGACAACUGUGAUGCAUCAGGACACAGAUGGUUCACACCUGGCCCAGUGACCACCCACACUGAGAACGUCGACCGUCCAACGCAUCCAGUGCCGCGGUUGCUGUUUGGUCUCGCACCCAUCUCGUCUUUAGCUUCGUACUGAACAUUUCCCUGCUUAAAGAACACAAGUCAGUCAGGCUCUAAUCUUUCCAUUCCUUAGCAACCCGCUUUCCAUUGCCACCAUCAGAUGAUCGUGCUGAUUUUCCGAGCAAUAAAUGCUUUUGUUGUCUUGU